GGGUACCUGUCCGCCUUAUCCGGCCGGGGCCGGAGCCUCCAUGGACAGGGACGUCCAUCCAUGUGAUCCAUCCGUCCACCUACCUAGCCUGCCUAUAUAUUCACCCAUGCGAAGACAGUAUGGAGGGUCCCGGCGCCGACCAAGAAGUGGAGAUGGACUUUUGGGUUUCGUCGCUGGCUUUGGGUGUGGCAUGCACUAUCUAUCUAGCUGCCUUGACUAGCAGCAGCAGCAGCAGCUACGUACGAGCACAUCAUCAACGAUCAAGGAAGCUUCUGCACGGUCCAAGCAAGCAGCCCUUCAUGAGAAGAGACCCCCACAAUUUGCCAAUAUCUGUUAGCCCAAACUAAGGAGUGGUUCCGAAAAUCACAAACAGGACAAGAAGGACGGAUAUAAAGACGGGUUGUGCUGCGGAACAAGAUCGGUAUCGGAACAUAGGUGGAAGAUCUUAUGAUCCUUUCGUCAAAGCGAAAUCCCAACGAUUCUUUCUCUUCUUUGGGUGCAUGCCAUGCCAUGCCACUGGACUGGUGGGAAAGGCAGCCAGCCAGCCCAUAGCCCUGCGUACUCUUGUACUAAUCUGAUCUUUGAGCACCGCGUGCGCUAAUAGUAAGGGCAUGUACGACGGGGGCGCUUACAAUCGGCGACAGGGUUCGAUUCCCGUCCGAUUUGGUCAAAUCCCCCUCGAUCCCAGGAUUUGGGCUGGCAUCGAUGCCGAGCCAGUCGCCGAGCGCUUAGCCUAUUUGUUUUCACGCGACCCUUUUUCUCCGUUCGGAUCUAGCAGCGGGCGCUACCUACAGUGCUACAAAUCGGCAACCGCUCAACUAACUCAGCUGGUCGUUGUACUAAAAACCAGCUCUACUCAACUAACUUAGAUGAUUUCGUUUUGCAGCUGGACAAAUAACUCUUUUCUUUCCUCUUCACGCACAACAAUAAUCUAGAAUAAACUAUAGAGCUUGUCAAUCUAUUACAAAUCUACAUGAAACCUGAAUACUUACAAUAAAAAUUGAAUUGAUACAAAAUAAAUGUGUAAAAAUGAAAUGCUUGUGGUUGCCAAGCUGACCCAACAGGGACAAAGAUCCCAAUCUUAAAACCUGAAAGCACGGUGAGAUAAAGUUAGAAAAAUAUAUGCCAAGUUACUUCAACCGUUUUUUCAGUCAUACACGGUUAAAUCGGCCUAACUAAAUCAUGCAUGCAGUGCUGACUAAAUCAUGCAUGCAGUAAAGCUAUCUCGUUAUAUAUAGUCCUAGUUGCAGGUUCCAGUUCCACGCCCAUCCCAAAAAUUUCUGCUCAUACACAAGCACAAUCCUACUCAAAUCUGGUACAAGUAUUUGUUCAUACACAUCACAUCUUUCAAUGGAUAUCGGCCAUGCCAACAUCGGAGACAUACACUUACAAUGGACCGAAGAGGAUAAUCUAUGCCUGGUAAAUGCUUGGUUAAAUGUUCCCAUUGAUUUUGUUAUUGGCAAUGAAAACACUGCACGGGAUUUUUGGAAUCAAGUCGCUGAAGAAUAUAACUCAAAUACCGCCGAUAAUCGAAGAAGACAACCUAUCCAAAUCAAACGCCGUUGGAGUAAGAUGAGCUCAGAAAUUCUGCUAUUCGAUGGCAUGUGGCGCAGGGUUGACGAUGCAUUCACAGCUACUGGACAAUAUAACCAGGACUUGGUUUCCAAAUCUCUAGAGAUGUAUAGGUUAGAACAAAAUCAAUCAUUCAAAUUUCUCAACAUGUGGAUGUUCAUACGGAACUAUCCCUAGUGGAAUGCAAUGUACUGUCGAGUCAAAAAGCCAUGAUUUAGAUAAUAAAUUGUUGUUCUCA